CAACCCCUCAAGCCUCAGCUUGGUGUUGGGCCGUGCCACUGCCCUCGCGGCGCCGGCAGGCCUUAAAAUCAGUGGCGGUGCCCGCUGUGGUUCCAAGCGUAGUAAUCUCUCUCGCUCUGGAGACCUGGCGGGCUGCUUGCCAGACAACCCCAUCUUCUCAAAA
rnacentral:misc_RNA from 1 species